CCUACGGGUGGCAGCAGUGGGGAAUAUUGGACAAUGGGGGAAACCCUGAUCCAGCGACGCCGCGUGAGUGAAGGAGUAUUUCGGUACGUAAAGCUCUAUCAGCCGGGAAGAAAAUGACGGUACCUGACUAAGAAGCCCCGGCUAACUACGUGCCAGCAGCCGCGGUAAUACGUAGGGGGCAGGCGUUAUCCGGAUUUACUGGGUUUAAAGGGAGCGUAGCCGGCAGGGCAAUUCUGGGGUGAAAUGCCGGGGCCCAACCCCGGAACUGCUCUGGAAACUGUUAAGCUGGAGUGCAGGUGAGGUAAGCGGAAUUCGUGGUGUAGCGGUGAAAUGCGUAGAUAUCAGGAGGAACACCGGUGGCGAAGGCGGCUUACGGGACUGUAAUUGACGUUGAGGCUCGAAGGCGUGGGGAGCAAACAGGAUUAGAUACCCUAGUAGUC
rnacentral:rRNA from 1 species